UACAGAGGGUGCAAGCGUUGUUCGGAAUUACUGGGCGUAAAGCGCGUGUAGGUGGCGAUGUAAGUCGGGUGUGAAAUCCCUCAGCUUAACUGAGGAAGUGCACUCGAUAUUGUGUCGCUUGAGUGUUGGAGGGGAUGGCGGAAUUCCCGGUGUAGAGGUGAAAUUCGUAGAUAUCGGGAGGAACACCUGUGGCGAAGGCGGCCAUCUGGACAACUACUGACACUGAGACGCGAAAGCGUGGGUAGCAAACAGG
rnacentral:rRNA from 1 species